rnacentral:misc_RNA from 1 species
AGAUGAAUUGAAGCAUGCAGUUGCUUUUGUUCGACCAGUCAGCGUAGCAUUUGAGGUGGUUAGCGGUUUUCGCUUGUAUUCAAAAGGAGUUUACACCAGUGACUCAUGCGGCAGUACUCCUAUGGAUGUAAACCACGCCGUGCUUGCAGUUGGUUAUGGGGUUGAAGAUGGUGUCCCAUACUGGCUCAUAAAGAACUCAUGG